rnacentral:misc_RNA from 1 species
GGCUCAUAUUUUUGCCCAACUUCAUAGUGAAGAACUUGGAGUCCUUCCCCAUGUUCUACAGGUAUGAAGGUGAAAUCAGCAAUCCUCUUCUCAAUUUCCCUUAUCUUUUUAUCACGACCUCUUGGAAGGAAUGUGCCAGAGCUUGUUCGCACUCUGCUAUCUUUACUCUUCCCAGUUUCACUGUCAACAACUGUAGACUUUUGCAUAUGAGGCUUGGCUAGAUUGAUCAGGUAAUCACAUUCCUCUUUGCUCAAAAAAUUAUGAUAGAUAGAAGCCCGAGGCUCCCACGAGAUCACCUCAGCCCAGUGUUCUUGUCCCCCAUCGUCUCCCUCGAUACUGUCCACUUUAUUAUGGACGAUGGUGCUGAGAUCGUUGGCCUUGCGAGAGGGAUCACCGGAAUUGCUAGGAAUAGAGAGAAUUCCGAGGGCAAGAAGUAUGAGAAU